rnacentral:rRNA from 1 species
GAUGAACGCUAGCGGCAGGCUUAAUACAUGCAAGUCGUGGGGCAGCAGGACUGUAGCAAUACAGUUGCUGGCGACCGGCAACCGGGUGCGGAACACGUACGCAACUUACCCUGAACUGGGGGAUAGCCCGGGGAAACCCGGAUUAAUACCCCGUAAUAUAAUGGAGUGGCAUCACUUUAUUAUUAAAGCUCCGGCGGUUCGGGAUGGGCGUGCGGCUGAUUAGGUAGUUGGUUGAGGUAACGGCUCACCAAGCCUACGAUCAGUAACUGGUGUGAGAGCACGACCAGUCACACGGGCACUGAGACACGGGCCCGACUCCUACGGGAGGCAGCAGUAAGGAAUAUUGGGCAAUGGAGGCAACUCUGACCCAGCCAUGCCGCGUGGAGGAUGAAGGCCCUCUGGGUUGUAAACUUCUUUUAUGGGGGACGAAACCUGUGUAUUCUUACGCAGUUGACGGUACCCUAGGAAUAAGCACCGGCUAACUCCGUG